rnacentral:rRNA from 1 species
GGAUUAGAUACCCUGGUAGUCCACGCCGUAAACGAUGAGUGCUAGUUGUCCGCAGGCAUGCCUGUGGGUGACGCAGCUAACGCAUUAAGCACUCCGCCUGGGGAGUACGGCCGCAAGGUUAAACCUCAAAGAAAUUGACGGGGGCCCGCACAAGCGGUGGAGCAUGUGGUUUAAUUCGAAGCAACGCGCAGAACCUUACCUACGCUUGACAUGCCCUGUUUGGUUACCGGAGACGGUUUCCUUCAUUUAGUUGGCAGGUGCACAGGUGCUGCAUGGCUGUCGUCAGCUCGUGUCG